CAAUAGCGUAUAUUUAAGUUGUUGCAGUUAAAAAGCUCGUAGUUGGAUUUCGGGUGGGACGCAGCGGUCUCGCAUUGCGUUUGUACUGCUGCAGCCCUCCUUCUUGCCGGGGGCGGCCCCUCGGACUUCACUGUCUGGGGGUCAGAAUCGGCGAUGUUACUUUGAGUAAAUUAGAGUGUUCAAAGCAAGCUUACGCUCUGAAUAUAAUAGCAUGGGAUAACACGACAGGACUCUGGCCUAUCGUGUUGGUCUAUAGGACCAGAGUAAUGAUUAAGAGGGACAGUCGGGGGCAUUCGUAUUCCGUUGUCAGAGGUGAAAUUCUUGGAUUUACGGAAGACGAACAUCUGCGAAAGCAUUUGCCAAGGAUGUUUNCAUUG
rnacentral:rRNA from 1 species